UCCGGUUUAACACCGGCAGUCUCCAUAGAGUGCCCAACUUAAUGGUGGCAACUAGGGAUAGGGGUUGCGCUCGUUAAGGGACUUAACCCGACAUCUCACGAUACGAGCUGACGACAGCCAUGCAGCACCUGUCACCCGGCCCCCGAAGGGGAGACCCUGUUUCCAGGGCUGUCCGGGGAUGUCAAGCCUAGGUAAGGUUCUUCGCGUAGCAUCGAAUUAAACCACAUGCUCCACCGCUUGUGCGGGCCCCCGUCAAUUCCUUUGAGUUUUAACCUUGCGGCCGUACUUCCCAGGCGGGGCACUUAAUGCGUUAGCGGCGACACUGCAGGGGUCAACUCCCGCAACAUCUAGUGCCCAUCGUUUACGGCGUGGACUAC
rnacentral:misc_RNA from 1 species